rnacentral:rRNA from 1 species
CCUACGGGAGGCAGCAGUGAGGAAUAUUGGUCAAUGGGCGGAAGCCUGAACCAGCCAAGUAGCGUGCGGGAUGAAUGCCCUACGGGUCGUAAACCGCUUUUGUACGGGGAUAACACCCUCCACUUGUGGCUGUCUGCAUGUACCGUGCGAAUAAGGGCCGGCUAAUUCCGUGCCAGCAGCCGCGGUAAUACGGAGGGCCCGAGCGUUAUCCGGAUUCAUUGGGUUUAAAGGGAGCGUAGGCGGGAGUUCAAGUCAGCUGUAAAAUGGUGCGGCUCAACCGAGCAUCGCAGUUGAAACUGGAAGUCUUGAGUACAGAACAGGUAGGCGGAAUUCGUGGGGUAGCGGUGAAAUGCAUAGAUAUCACGAGGAACCCCGAUUGCGAAGGCAGCCUGCCGGGGUGCGACUGACGCUGAGGCUCGAAGGUGCGGGUAUCAAACAGGAUUAGAUACCCGGGUAGUC